AUCUUUUCAUAUGCUUAUUGGCCACACACAUAUCUUCUUUGGAGAAAUGUCUAUUCAAGUCCUUUGUCCUUUGCCCAUUUUUGAAUUAGGUUGUUUGUUUUUUGUUGUUGAAUUGUAGGAUUUCUUUAUAUAUUCGGCAUGUUAACCACUUAUCAGAUAUAUGAUUUGCAUAUAUUUUCUCCCAUUCUGUGGGUUUUCUCUUCACUGUCUUGAUGAUGUCCUUCAGUGCACAAAACAGUUAAAUUUUGGAGUCCUGUCUAUCCAUUUUUCUUCUCUGUUGCUUGUGCUUUUGGUGUCAUAUCCACAAAAUCAUUGCCAAAUCCAUGUCAUGAAGCUUUCCCCUAUGUUUUCUUCUAAGAGUUUUAUACUUUUAGCUCUUAAGUUUAGAUCUUUGAUCCAUUUUGAGUUAAUUUUUGUAUGUUGUAUAAGGUAAGAGUCCAACUUCAUUCUUUUUCAUGUGGAUAUCCAGUUUUCCCAGCACCAUUUGUUGAAAAGAUGGCCUUUCCCCCAUAGAUAUGAGAGUUUUUCCCUGGACUCUCUGUUUUGUUCCUUUGGUAUAUAUGUCUGUCCUUAUGCCAGUAUUAUUUUGAUUACUAUAGCUUUGUAAUAAGUUUUGCAAUCAGGAAGUGUUAAUCUGCCCUGUUUUUGCUAUUCAAGAUCCCUUGAGGUUCCAUAUGAAUUUUAUGAUAGAUUUUUCUAUUUCUACCAAAAAUUUCUUUGGGAUUUUGAUAGAAAUUGCAUUGAAUCUAUAGAUCACUUUGGGCAAUAUUAACAUCUUAACAAUUUUAUUAAGUUUUCCAAUCCAUGAGCAUGGAAUGUUUUUCUUUUUAUUUCUGUCUUCUUUAAUUUCUUUCAGCAAUACUUUGUAGUUUCCAGUGUACAAAUCUUUUACCUUCUUUGUGAAGUUUAUUCCUAAGUAUCUUAUUCUUUUUGAUGCUACUGUAAAUUGAAUUAUUUUAAUAAUUUCCUUUAUGGUUUGUUCAUUGCUACUGCAAAUGAUUUUGAUGGUUUUGUAUCAUGCAACUUUGCAGACUUGUUGAUUAGCAUUAACAGUUUUAUUCAUGCACUAUUUAGUAUUUUCUACAUAUAAGAUCAUGCUAUCUGCAAACAGAAAUAAUUUUACUUUUUCCUUUCCAGUUAGAGUGCUUCUUAUUUUUUUUUCUUGCCUAAUUGCUCAGACUUGAACUUCCAGUACUGUGUUAAACAGAAAUGGUGAAAGCAGGCAUCUUUGUCUUGUUCCUGAUCUUAGGGAAAAAGCUUUCAGCCUUUCACCAUUGAGUAUGAUGUUAGCUAUGGGUUUUUUGGGUUUUUAAAAAAUAAAUUUAUUUAUUUAUUUUUCACUGUGUCGGGUCUUUGUUGCUGCACGUGGGCUUUCUCUAGCUGUGCUGAGCAGGGGCUACUCUUCAUUGCAGUGCGUGGGCUUCUCAUUGCAGUGGUAUGGAGCAUGGGCUCUAGGCAUGCAGGCUUCAGUACCUGUGGCACGUGGGCUCGGUAGUUGUGGCUUGCAGGCUCUAGAGCACAGGCUCAGUAGUUGUGGCACAUGGGCUUAGUUGCUCUGUGGCAUGUGGGAUCUUCCCGGACCAGGGCCUGAACCUGUGUCCCCUGGCAGGCGGAUUCCCAACCACUGUGCCACCAGGGAAGUCCCAUGCUAUGGGUUUUUCAUAAAUGCCUUUAUCAUGUUGAGGAAAUUUUCUUUUAUUAAUAGUUUACUGAAUGUUUUUAUCAUUAAAGAGUGUUGAAUUUUGUCAAAUGCUUUUCUGCAUCAAUUGAGGUAAUCAUGUGGUUUUUUUCUUUCAUAUUUUUAAUGCCGUGUAUUCCACUGAUUGAUAUUUUAUGGUGUACCAUUCUUAUAUUCUGGGAAUAAGUCCCAUUUGGUCAUGGUGUAGAGUUUUUUUAUUAUGCUGCUGAAUUUACUUUGCUAGUAUUUUAUUGAAGAUUUUGCAUCAGUAUUCAUAAGGGAUAUUGGCCUGUAGUUUUCUUUUCUUGUAGUGUCUUUGUCUGGCUAUGGUAUCAGCGUUAUGCUGGCCUCAUUGAAUGAGUUAGGAAGUGUUUCCUCCUCAUCAUUUUUCUGGGAAGAAUUUGAGAAAGAUUGGUGUUAAUUCUUAAAGUGUUUGAUAGAAUUUACCAAUCAAGUUAUUUUGUCCUGGGAUUUUCUUUGUUGGGAGGUUUUAGAUUAAUGAUUCAAUCUCCUGCUUUUUAUAGGUCUUCUCAGAUUUUUUAUUUCUUCAUGGGUCAGUUUUGGCAAGUUGUAUGUUACUAGGUAUUUGUCCAUCUCAGUUAUGACCAUUUAAAAAUUGAACUUUUGGCAGAUUGUUUCUGUCUGUUUGAUUUUAUUACUUUCUUGCCUGAGUGAAACUCUCAUUUUAAAUGACAUGUUGUUUCUUUACAAAGUAAAGUACCAAAGGAAUAUGAGAGUUUGGGUUGUAUAUAUUAUUGUUGAUGUAUAUUCUAUUUUUGUCAGAUAUUUAAUAAAAUACUUUACUCU